rnacentral:rRNA from 1 species
UACGUAGGACACAAGCGUUAUCCGGAGUUACUGGGCGUAAAGGCGCGUAGGCGGCCUUCUAAGUCAGACGUGAAAUCCCCCGGCUUAACCUGGGAACUGCGUCUGAUACUGGGAGGCUUGAGUAUGGGAGAGGGAUGUAGAAUUCCAGGUGUAGCGGUGAAAUGCGUAGAUAUCUGGAGGAAUACCGGUGGCGAAGGCGGCAUCCUGGACCAUAACUGACGCUGAGGCGCGAAAGCUAGGGGAGCAAACGGG